rnacentral:rRNA from 14 species
GUUUUACUGGGGCGGUAUCCUCCUAAAGAGUAACGGAGGAUCGCGAAGGUUUCCUCGGCCCGGUCGGCAAUCGGGCGAGAGAGCGUAUGGGUAUAAGGAAGCUUAACUGUGAGACAUACAAGUCGAGCAGAUGCGAAAGCAGGCCCAAGUGAUCCGGUGGUAGAAAGUGGAAUCGCCAUCGCUUAAAGGAUAAAAGGUACCCUAGGGAUAACAGGCUGAUUCCGCCCAAGCGUUCACAGCGACGGCGGAGUUUGGCACCUCGAUGUCGGCUCAUCACAUCC